UCAAUGCUCGAAAGAGUGAACUAGCUAACUGAAAUCUGUCUAUUGCUUUCCGGAGCAAGUCCUCUUAAGAGGUAGUACCCACAGAUAAGGUUAGAGAAUAAUAAUGAUAUUACCUAACUAGAGUGUUGUCAAAAAUUGGUGCCAGAAGACUCGGUAAGGCCAAAAACGCGAACGUUAAUCAUCUUAAACAGGCGUAAAGGGUUUGUAGGCGGCUUUAAACACUUUAACUAAGAUACAACAGAAUAAAUCUUGAAACCCUAUAAAACUUUUAUAGGUUUUGGUUUUCUGUAUUUUUAACCACAGAUCUGCCAGCAGACCUAAAUUAUAUAAAACUGUAUCUGAAAGUAUUUUUCUUUAUUUUAUGUUUAACUAUUAAUCUAAAGAAAAGGUUAAAGUACAAAUUAAAGCUAGAAUCAGGUAGAGGAUAUAAUAAUGAUAUAAUGCUUAAUGGAGGGGUUCUAUCUUUAGAUAUUAAGUGGAAUAUUAAUGGCGAAAGCUUUUUUUCUAAUACCGAAUUAGUGACGCUGAGAAACAAAAGGGAGGAUAGGAAAAAGGAUUAGAUACCCAAGUACCCCUCUCUGUGACCGAUGAAUGGUAAUUUUUAGUAUAGUUUUAAAAUAAUAACUAAUAUUAGUUUUAAUGUUAACACGUUAACCAUUCCGCCUUGUGAGUACGAUUGCAAAAUUGAAAACAAAAAAAUUAGUCAGUUUCGGAGCAAACGAAGUGAAGCAU
rnacentral:rRNA from 1 species